rnacentral:tRNA from 2 species
GGGGGUUCGCUACACGCUUGUACGGGGAGAGCGCUUGAAUGGCAUUCAAGAGGUCAGCGGUUCGAUCCCGCUUAUCUCCACCA